rnacentral:rRNA from 1 species
UACGGAGGGGGCUAGCGUUGUUCGGAAUUACUGGGCGUAAAGCGCACGUAGGCGGACCAUCAAGUCGGGGGUGAAAUCCCGGGGCUCAACCCCGGAACUGCCUCCGAGACUGCUGGUCUGGAGGUCGAGAGAGGUGAGUGGAAUUCCGAGUGUAGAGGUGAAAUUCGUAGAUAUUCGGAGGAACACCAGUGGCGAAGGCGGCUCACUGGCUCGAUUCUGACGCUGAGGUGCGAAAGCGUGGGGAGCAAACAGG